AGAGUUUGAUCCUGGCUCAGAUUGAACGCUGGCGGCAGGCCUAACACAUGCAAGUCGAAUGGUAACAGGAAACAGCUUGCUGUUUCGCUGACGAGUGGCGGACGGGUGAGUAAUGUCUGGGAAACUGCCUGAUGGAGGGGGAUAACUACUGGAAACGGUGGCUAAUACCGCAUAACGUCGCAAGACCAAAGAGGGGGACCUUCGGGCCUCUUGCCAUCAGAUGUGCCCAGAUGGGAUUAGCUAGUAGGUGGGGUAACGGCUCACCUAGGCGACGAUCCCUAGCUGGUCUGAGAGGAUGACCAGCCACACUGGAACUGAGACACGGUCCAGACUCCUACGGGAGGCAGCAGUGGGGAAUAUUGCACAAUGGGCGCAAGCCUGAUGCAGCCAUGCCGCGUGUAUGAAGAAGGCCUUCGGGUUGUAAAGUACUUUCAGCGGGGAGGAAGGGAGUAAAGUUAAUACCUUUGCUCAUUGACGUUACCCGCAGAAGAAGCACCGGCUAACUCCGUGCCAGCAGCCGCGGUAAUACGGAGGGUGCAAGCGUUAAUCGGAAUUACUGGGCGUAAAGCGCACGCAGGCGGUUUGUUAAGUCAGAUGUGAAAUCCCCGGGCUCAACCUGGGAACUGCAUCUGAUACUGGCAAGCUUGAGUCUCGUAGAGGGGGGUAGAAUUCCAGGUGUAGCGGUGAAAUGCGUAGA
rnacentral:rRNA from 1 species